AGGGCUACGGCUUGAUGGUCCCGCUGCAGCUUUGCUCCGCUUGAUAAUUCUUUUACUAUCUGACCUCCUCUGCUUUGCAUAGUUUCCUGUUGGUUAUAAAACCAUAAAACUGUGGUGAUGUGAGGAGCGCCAGGACAAAUUUGAAGUGUGAAGCCAUGAAACCAAGUGCAAAGCCGUGAUGCCUUACUUGCGAGAGAUUUGUUUAUUCUGUUUGACUGUAAUAGACUGUCGAGAUUGUGACAUUGUAACAGAUUUACUGUUAUUUGAUAAAUUAUGUUUGUCCU